rnacentral:rRNA from 1 species
AAGCAUAUCAAUAAGCGGAGGAAAAGAAACCAACAGGGAUUGCCCUAGUAACGGCGAGUGAAGCGGCAACAGCUCAAAUUUGAAAGCUAGCCUUCGGGUUCGCAUUGUAAUUUGUAGAGGAUACUUUGGGUAAAACGCCAGUCUAAGUUCCUUGGAACAGGACGUCAUAGAGGGUGAGAAUCCCGUAUGUGACUGGAAACGUUGACCUAUGUAAAGUUCCUUCGACGAGUCGAGUUGUUUGGGAAUGCAGCUCUAAAUGGGAGGUAAAUUUCUUCUAAAGCUAAAUAUUGGCGAGAGACCGAUAGCGCACAAGUAGAGUGAUCGAAAGAUGAAAAGCACUUUGGAAAGAGAGUUAAAAAGCACGUGAAAUUGUUGAAAGGGAAGCGCUUGCAAUCAGACUUGUUUAAACUGUUCGGCCGGUCUUCUGACCGGUUUACUCAGUUUGGACAGGCCAGCAUCAGUUUCGGCGGCCGGAUAAAGGCUCUGGGAAUGUGGCCUCCACUUCGGUGGAGGUGUUAUAGCCCAGUGUGUAAUACGGCCAGCCGGGACUGAGGUCCGCGCUUCGGCUAGGAUGCUGGCGUAAUGGUUGUAAGCGACCCG